UACUGCAAGUAGACAAGUCGUUCUCACUAUGAAAAAAAUACGCACCAACAACGACGAGAAGAGAAAAAGGAAGAAAUGUGUUGUUUGUCUGAAAAUAACAGUAUAAAGAUAUGACUUUUUUUUUUUUUUUUUUUUU
rnacentral:ribozyme from 14 species